UAGCCACGGUAAUACCCGCUCCCGAGUGGUGGGAGUAAUUAUUGGGCGUUAAAGACGUCCGUAGCCGGCCUAGUAAGUCUCCUGUUAAAUACCAGCGGCCUAACCGUUGGACUGCGGGAGAUACUACUAGGCUAGGGGCGGGAGAGGCCGGCGGUAUUCCCGGGUAGGGUGAAAUCCUAUAAUCCCGGGAGGACCACCAGUGGCGAAGGC
rnacentral:rRNA from 1 species